CCGAGUAUGGGUCCCUAUCCCCUUCCCGGGGGGUGGGGGCCCAGACCUCCCACCCUUGUCGAUUGUACCGUGUUGCUUCGGCGGGCCCGCCAUGGUUGGCCGCCGGGGGGUUCGCGAACGCCGCCCCCGGGCCCGUGCCCGCCGGAGACUCCCUCGAAAUGCUACUGUGGUCAGGAAUGCUGUCUGAGUCUUGAGAAAUUGAUCAAA
rnacentral:misc_RNA from 1 species